rnacentral:rRNA from 1 species
UACGUAGGGGGCGAGCGUUGUCCGGAGUUACUGGGCGUAAAGGGCACGCAGGCGGUUGUGUGAGUUUGCGGGGACAGUGGGUGGCUUAACUGCCCAAGGGUCGCAAAGACGGCACGACUGGAGAGCGAGAGAGGGACCUGGAACUCCGGGUGGAGCGGUGAAAUGCGUAGAGAUCCGGAAGAACACCACUGGCGCAGGCAAGGUCCUGGCUCGUAUCUGACGCUGAGGUGCGAAAGCUAGGGGAGCGAACGGG